UACGGAGGGGGCUAGCGUUGUUCGGAAUUACUGGGCGUAAAGCGCGCGUAGGCGGACCUGCAAGUCGGGGGUGAAAGCCCGAGGCUCAACCUCGGAACUGCCUUCGAUACUGCGGGUCUCGAGUCCGGGAGAGGUGAGUGGAAUUCCUAGUGUAGAGGUGAAAUUCGUAGAUAUUAGGAAGAACACCAGUGGCGAAGGCGGCUGACUGGACUCAUAUUGACGCUGAGGCUCGAAAGCAUGGGGAGCAAACAGG
rnacentral:rRNA from 1 species